GACGAACGCUGGCGGCGUGCUUAACACAUGCAAGUCGAACGGAAAGGCCCUGCUUUUGUGGGGUGCUCGAGUGGCGAACGGGUGAGUAACACGUGAGUAACCUGCCCUUGACUUUGGGAUAACUUCAGGAAACUGGGGCUAAUACCGGAUAGGAGCUCCUGCUGCAUGGUGGGGGUUGGAAAGUUUCGGCGGUUGGGGAUGGACUCGCGGCUUAUCAGCUUGUUGGUGGGGUAGUGGCUUACCAAGGCUUUGACGGGUAGCCGGCCUGCGAGGGUGACAGGCCACAUUGGGACUGAGAUACGGCCCGGACUCCUACGGGAGGCAGCAGUGGGGAAUAUUGCACAAUGGGCGGAAGCCUGAUGCAGCAACGCCGCGUGCGGGAUGACGGCCUUCGGGUUGUAAACCGCUUUCGCCUGUGACGAAGCGUGAGUGACGGUAAUGGGUAAAGAAGCACCGGCUAACUACGUG
rnacentral:rRNA from 1 species